rnacentral:rRNA from 1 species
AUUGAACGCUGGCGGCAGGCCUAACACAUGCAAGUCGAACGGUAACAGGAAACAGCUUGCUGUUUCGCUGACGAGUGGCGGACGGGUGAGUAAUGUCUGGGAAACUGCCUGAUGGAGGGGGAUAACUACUGGAAACGGUAGCUAAUACCGCAUAACGUCGCAAGACCAAAGAGGGGGACCCUCGGGCCUCUUGCCAUCGGAUGUGCCCAGAUGGGAUUAGCUUGUUGGUGGGGUAACGGCUCACCAAGGCGACGAUCCCUAGCUGGUCUGAGAGGAUGACCAGCCACACUGGAACUGAGACACGGUCCAGACUCCUACGGGAGGCAGCAGUGGGGAAUAUUGCACAAUGGGCGCAAGCCUGAUGCAGCCAUGCCGCGUGUAUGAAGAAGGCCUUCGGGUUGUAAAGUACUUCCAGCGGGGAGGAAGGGGGUAAAGUUAAUACCUUUGCUCAUUGACGUUACCCGCAGAAGAAGCACCGGCUAACUCCGUG